GGAGGGAGGAGACAAGGCAGGGCCACAGCGGGAGGCGGUGACGCGGCGCCGAGUGGUCUCUUGGGAGUUGUAGUUCUCCGACUGAAGAAAAAAGGGAUACAAUCGUGGUUGAGGAAGCGUCCCGGCUCUCACUGCACUGCGCAUGCUCGGAGAGAGAGGCUCAGCCCCCUGCUGUUACUAUGGUCACCGACACACUGAGGAAGAAAACGUGUUCUUUGCUGCUGCUGGCUGAACAAGGGCCUUCUUGUCUUAAGGUCAGAUAUCAGGCCGAAGAUACUUCUUGGAGUCAAAUCACAGAGACAUUCUAGUGCUUGACCACAACACUUAUAUCCCUAUGGUAUUGAUGGCAGACAUCAGGGACUAUGAAUACAGUGAUGAACAGGUCUGGGGAAGCUCCUGAUGUCAAGAUCUACAAGGGAUGGGGAACGGUAAGAGGAAUGAGCUGGCAGGAGCAAGAGCUGUUGGGAACAGUACAACAAGGCAGCGGGUGGAGGGGUGGGAGCACCAGACU